rnacentral:rRNA from 1 species
CUACGGGAGGCAGCAGUGGGGAAUAUUGGACAAUGGGGGAAACCCUGAUCCAGCAAUGCCGCGUGUGUGAAGAAGGCCUGCGGGUUGUAAAGCACUUUCGGUUGGGAGGACUGCUUCUAGCACUAAUAUUGUUGGAAGUUGACGUUACCUUCAGAAGAAGCACCGGCUAACUCCGUGCCAGCAGCCGCGGUAAUACGGAGGGUGCAAGCGUUAAUCGGAAUUACUGGGCGUAAAGCGCGCGUAGGCGGCUAGAUCAGUCGGGUGUGAAAGCCCCGGGCUUAACCUGGGAACUGCAUCCGAUACUGUCUAGCUUGAGUACAGGAGAGGAGAGUGGAAUUCCACAUGUAGCGGUGAAAUACGUAGAUAUGUGGAGGAACACCAAUGGCGAAGGCAGCUCUCUGGCCUGAUACUGACGCUGAGGUGCGAAAGCGUGGGGAGCAAACAGUAUUAGAUACCCUAGUAGUC